rnacentral:misc_RNA from 1 species
GAUGAAGAACGCAGCGAAAUGCGAUAAGUAGUGUGAAUUGCAGAAUUCAGUGAAUCAUCGAAUCUUUGAACGCACAUUGCGGCCAUAGGUAUUCCUUUGGCCAUGCCUGUUCGAGCGUCAUUUACACCCUCAAGCCUAGCUCGGUGUUGGGCGCCUGUCCCGCCGUUUUCGCGCGCGGACUCGCCUCAAAGUCAUUGGCGGCGGUCGUGCCGGCCCCCUCGCGCAGCACAUUUGCGCUUCUCGGAGGCCCGGCGGAUCCGCGCUCCAGCAAGACCUUUCACGACUUGACCUCGGAUCAGGUAGGGAUACCCGCUGAACUUAAGCAUAUCAAUAAGCGGAGGA